UAAUGCACCUGGACUAGAAAGCAGGCCCAGUGAUGGAAACAGGUAUUCACACUGCUAUUUCACCAACACACAGCCCAAGAUUGGAACGGCUUAUGAAAUCCGAAAAUCCGCAGCAGCAUGGCAGCAUGGGUAAUAUUGUUUCAUACUGGAUAAGAUUCAGGUAUCCGAAAAUGUCCAAGACAGACGACCACAUAACCUGCCAUUAUAACCAUCAGCUUGAACUGAGAGGUACAACACCCUGGAACUAAGCAUAUGCUGUGAAUGAAGAGAGGCUGAAUAUCCCUGUAUCUGAAAGAGAUCUCAGCCUUGUUGCAAGUCACAUUGGGAUCGGGUUUGAGUGUGUCGGCAUCGAACUUGGACUUACUCUCGUGGUUAUCGAACAAGUCUCGUUUGCACACCCAAAUUCACUGUACAUGCAGGUUGUACACAUGCUUACGAAGAGGAUGGAGAAGAAUGGAAGAUCUGCCACCAGCCUGGUCCUCGUCAGAGCACUGUGGAGAUGCAACGAGAAAUGUACGAUUGAGUGGGAGGACAUUCUGAACAUUCUUCAGGGACCGUCCACUAAGUCAGGUUAAUAAAGUGCUGCUCUGAACAACCUUCUCAAGUACAGUUAUCACUGAUUUAUUCAUUGGGAGGAUAUUCUCAACAUCCUUCAGGUACUAACAUCUAUUUCUGCGUAGCCAUGCACCUGCACAUUUAGAUUGUGCAAAACAAUCCCUUUGAAAUAUCGAGUCGCGAUACUAGAUUCACCAUGACUGAACCGGAUGAUGUUUUUCCUCGUGCAAGUUGCGCACUAAACACUCAUCAUAUGUACAGUUAUCAUUAAUUUGCCGUAUAUAAUACAUUGUGAUUGUAUUUGUAUGUUAAUAAACUGCUAUGAUGUCCUUUGUAAGAACUGGUCAUUCUGCCUCUUGUGAUAUUCGCGGAACAGUGACCGAGGGAUAACAAGCUGUGCUCUAAACGUCAUCCGUAGUCCGAAAAUCCGGGAACAUAAUUGCCUCUCACAUAACAAAUGUCCCGACUGUAUUAAGGAUUGAAAAUUCAAAAUUAUUUUUAGAAUGUAAUUUCAAGGGUACUGUCUAUCUGUUGACUCUGAUUUUGAACACUAUUACUAGGUUUGCCGGUUGUAGAAUCGUUUUUGAUUCAUUAAGGACGCCAUUAUUUUCUGACUUUAUACAUUAGCUCUAUUCUAUUUGUAAGGUCAUGGGCUGUAGUAGUUUUCAGGAAUGAUGACAGGUUAUGACAGGUCGUCUUGUGCAGCCUCUGUGGUGUGUGAUCACAUCUAUAGAGAGAUGUGCAUCGUCAAUGCAGCAUGGGCUGAGAUAUAUAUAGACAUAAACAUUCAGCAGGUCGUAAAGAAAGGUUUGUUUUACUCAUUCUUCAUAAUAUCUGUUUUGAAGAUUCUAUGAAUGCAUU